AGUAAUACAUAAGUAACCUGGCUCUACAGGGGGAGUAACUGAUGGAAACGACUGCUAAUACCGCAUAAGCCCACAGGUCGGCAUCGACCAGAGGGAAAAGGAGCAAUCCGCUUUGAGAUGGCCUCGCGUCCGAUUAGCUAGUUGGUGAGGUAAUAGCCCACCAAGGCGACGAUCGGUAGCCGGACUGAGAGGUUGAACGGCCACAUUGGGACUGAGACACGGCCCAG
rnacentral:rRNA from 1 species